GAUGAAGAACGUAGCGAAAUGCGAUAAGUAAUUUGAAUUGCAGAAUUCAGUGAAUCAUCGAGUCUUUGAACGCACAUUGCGCCCCCUGGUAUUCCGGGGGGCAUGCCUGUCCGAGCGUCAUUGCUGCCCUCAAGCACGGCUUGUGUGUUGGGCCCCGCCCCCCGGCUCCCGGGGGGCGGGCCCGAAAGGCAGCGGCGGCACCGCGUCCGGUCCUCGAGCGUAUGGGGCUUCGUCACCCGCUCCGUAGGCCCGGCCGGCGCCCGCCGGCGACCCCCCUCAAUCUUUUCAGGUUGACCUCGGAUCAGGUAGGGAUACCCGCUGAACUUAAGCAUAUCAAUAAGCGGAGGA
rnacentral:misc_RNA from 1 species